rnacentral:SRP_RNA from 1 species
GCCAGGUGUGGUGGCGUGCACCUGUAAUCCCAGCUACUCAGGAGGCUGAUGCAGGAGAAUUGCUUGAACCCAGGAGGCAGAGGCUGUAGUGAGCAGAGAUUGCACCACUGCACUCCAGCCUGGGCAACAGAGCGAGACUCUGCCUCAA